UACGGAGGGGGCUAGCGUUGUUCGGAAUUACUGGGCGUAAAGCGCACGUAGGCGGCUUUGUAAGUUAGAGGUGAAAGCCCGGGGCUCAACUCCGGAAUUGCCUUUAAGACUGCAUCGCUAGAACGUCGGAGAGGUAAGUGGAAUUCCGAGUGUAGAGGUGAAAUUCGUAGAUAUUCGGAAGAACACCGGUGGCGAAGGCGGCUCACUGGCCCGUAACUGACGCUCAUGCACGACAGCGUGGGGAUCAAACAGG
rnacentral:rRNA from 1 species